rnacentral:rRNA from 1 species
AUUGAACGCUGGCGGCAGGCCUAACACAUGCAAGUCGAGCGGAUGAAGGGAGCUUGCUCCUGGAUUCAGCGGCGGACGGGUGAGUAAUGCCUAGGAAUCUGCCUGGUAGUGGGGGAUAACGUCCGGAAACGGGCGCUAAUACCGCAUACGUCCUGAGGGAGAAAGUGGGGGAUCUUCGGACCUCACGCUAUCAGAUGAGCCUAGGUCGGAUUAGCUAGUUGGUGGGGUAAAGGCCUACCAAGGCGACGAUCCGUAACUGGUCUGAGAGGAUGAUCAGUCACACUUGAACUGAGACACGGUCCAGACUCCUACGGGAGGCAGCAGUGGGGAAUAUUGGACGAUGGGCGAAAGCCUGAUCCAGCCAUGCCGCGUGUGUGAAGAAGGUCUUCGGAUUGUAAAGCACUUUAAGUUGGGAGGAAGGGCAGUAAGUUAAUACCUUGCUGUUUUGACGUUACCAACAGAAUAAGCACCGGCUAACUUCGUG